AGAACCUUUGGAAUCCUCGCAGCCGCCUUGCCUUGUCUGCCCUGGGCUGUGCCGCCCUGGCUCUGAGCAGCUCAGGACACUUGCAGGCUCCCGUGGUACUGUACAUUAACUCUGCAGCAGCCCGCUCAGCUGCAGACUGCUGCCUGACAGGGGAUGUGCUGGCGUCAAGGGGGCCCUCUAGGUGGGUUCCCAGACACUGCAGGGCCGCGCGCUCUGUGCUAGCCUCUAAGAGUGAGUGAGAGGGGUUAAAGGAAGAUCCUGCCCAGAAGGAGCAGAUUUCUUUCAGAAUACUGCACUUGGGACAAGAUGCAGUCAUCAGAGUUGGGACUAUCAUCAGUAAAGCCACAUCUAUUGGUAAAAUGAAGCAACUGAUCAGAUAUCUUUAGAUCACACUCCAGCUCAAAUCUUUGGCACCAACAUGAGACGGCAUCACACACUGAGGCCCUGGCAGAUGUUCAAAGUACAACUGGCACUUUUGUGGAUUCAGCAGCAAUAGCCCUGCUGGGACCUGUGGCUGCAACCACUGUGACUAAGGUUUGGUCCCCCAGUUCCAAGCGCUGCUGCUUAAUCAGACCCCCACCUUGCCCUCGGGUUUCUAGUUAUCUAGGCCUACAAGCCCUUACUAUUAGAAACCAAAUGCUUUCCUUCCCAGCUGUUUCUUAGGGGGAGGGGUAAAAAGAAAAUGAC